rnacentral:sRNA from 1 species
UAUUUCCGUCAUAUUUUGUGAUUCAAAAUUUUAAAAAUAAACAUAUAUUAACCAAUUGGCAAAAAAUGUGUUAGUUCAACGUCCCGCAUCAACUAAAAUAUUUAGACAAUGAUUAAUAAACAUAUCAUAAAUGGUUUUUUUUACAGGACGGGUUUGGCAUGACGUUAUUUAAUAACAACUGUAAACUAUAAAAUAAAAAUAU